rnacentral:rRNA from 1 species
ACGUAGGUCACAAGCGUUGUCCGGAAUUACUGGGUGUAAAGGGAGCGCAGGCGGGAAGACAAGUUGGAAGUGAAAUCCAUGGGCUCAACCCAUGAAUUGCUUUCAAAACUGUUUUUCUUGAGUAGUGCAGAGGUAGGCGGAAUUCCCGGUGUAGCGGUGGAAUGCGUAGAUAUCGGGAGGAACACCAGUGGCGAAGGCGGCCUACUGGGCACCAACUGACGCUGAGGCUCGAAAGUGUGGGUAGCAAACAG